AUUGAACGCUGGCGGCAUGCCUAACACAUGCAAGUCGCACGCGAAAGAGGGGCAACCCUUGAGUAGAGUGGCGGACGGGUGAGUAACGCGUAGGAAUAUACCUGGUAGUGGGGGACAACCCGGUGAAAACCGGGCUAAUACCGCAUACGAUCCACGGAUGAAAGCAGGGGACCGCAAGGCCUUGCGCUAUCAGAUUAGCCUGCGUCGGAUUAGCUAGUUGGUGAGGUAAUGGCUCACCAAGGCAACGAUCCGUAGCUGGUUUGAGAGAACGACCAGCCACACUGGGACUGAGACACGGCCCAGACUCCUACGGGAGGCAGCAGUGGGGAAUAUUGGACAAUGGGGGCAACCCUGAUCCAGCAAUGCCGCGUGUGUGAAGAAGGCCUUCGGGUUGUAAAGCACUUUCCGUGGGGACAAACGUGGCGAGGCUAACAUCCUCGUCCUUGAUGGUACCCAAAGAAGAAGCACCGGCUAACUCUGUGCCAGCCGCCGCAGUAA
rnacentral:rRNA from 1 species